rnacentral:rRNA from 1 species
GAUGAACGCUGGCGGCGUGCCUAACACAUGCAAGUCGAACGGUGAAGGCGGAGCUUGCUCUGCUGGAUCAGUGGCGAACGGGUGAGUAACACGUGAGCAAUCUGCCCCUGUCUCUCGGAUAAGCGCUGGAAACGGCGUCUCAUACUGGGUACGAGCUGCGAAGGCAUCUUCAGCAGCUGGAAAGGACUUCGGUCAGGGAUGUGCUGGCGGCCUAUCAGCUUGUUGGUGAGGUAACGGAUCACCAAGCCGUCGACGGGUAGCCGGCCUGAGAGGGUGACCGGGCACACUGGGACUGCGACACGGACCAGACUCCUACGGGAGGCAGCAGUGGGGAAUAUUGCAGAAUGGGCGAAAGCCUGUUGCAGAAAUCCCGGGUGAGUGACGCCGGCCUACGGGUUGUGAACCUCUUUUUGCGUGGAAGUAGCGAAAGUGACGGUACCUGCAGAGAAAGCGCCGGCUAACUACGUG